rnacentral:rRNA from 1 species
UACGAAGGAUGCAAGCGUUAUCCGGAUUUAUUGGGUUUAAAGGGAGCGUAGGCGGUCUUAUAAGUCAGUGGUGAAAUCCUAUCGCUUAACGAUAGACGUGCCAUUGAUACUGUAGGACUUGAGUACAGAUGCCGUUGGCGGAAUGUGUCAUGUAGCGGUGAAAUGCAUAGAUAUGACACAGAACACCGAUUGCGAAGGCAGCUGACGAAACUGUAACUGAC